UUUGAAUUACGCUAGAGUUUUUGAAUUUUUUUUUUCAGUUAGAAUUUGCACAAUGCAAAACAGCUCAGUUUAUAAAAACUGUUGACAAACAGAGAGCAACUUGAAAGUGAAUAUAUCCCAAAAUCCGUGGAAUUAGAAGCCGAUCAGCAGCAUUUUGCUCAUUUUGCCGCAGGGUUGUAAAACUUUAAGUCUUUCUUUAAAAAGUCACGUCUCCUGUCCUCAGCUCCUGGAAGCAGCCUGACAAGCUCUGAUGCUUCAGUGGAAACAGUCAGCCUCAAAAGCAGCCAGAAUUGACUAUUACUAACAAGUUAUUCUUGAUAGCAAGACAAUCAAUUACAUCCUGUGGCACUUUUCUCUCUAUCUCUCUCCCUCCUUCCCUCUGUCUCUCUCUCUUUCUUUCUCUCUCCCUUCUGCUCUUUGACUAUGUUGCAGUUCGAUGCAGACUUUAGCAGGAGAGGAGCCCCGUUAAUUAGAGGGCAUGGCCGGGAGGAGGAGCACAGCCGGAUUACAAUACUUAAGGCUCCCACUCUUUACUACAAAUGAAUGAUUUGUCGAUAUUCUGUUUGUUCUUAUUUACAUAUUUGUAACCACGCUAUUUUAAUAGAAGCACAUUUACAUUACCAGAGGAAUAUAUCCAGUACAAUUUGUUGAUGAUUGCAAUUAAUAUUGUCUAAUUGUAUAUUGUCUAUUAAACUAGAAAUGUUUGCUUAAAAAUGUAUAUUCUCUCUCUCUUUUUAAUAGACGUAUUUUAGAGUCAGGUGGUAUAUCAUGGCUGAUAAUACUUGUGAACAGAACAAAAUAAGUGUGUGUGCGCGCAAGUGUGUAAUAGAGAAAGGAGAGGGAGAGAGAGAGAGAGAGAGAGAGAGAGAGAGAGAGAGAGAUCGUCCCCUUCAGCUGCACCAAAUCUUCUCUGCCAUAAUUCAAGCGCAAAGGGCCAGCUCGCAUCAGCAAUACUAAGGAUCUUGUUAUCCUCCCAGUGGCUGCUGCGUUGCAUUAAUAUGGCUGCAAGUUGUCUUCUUUAUGAGAGAGAGACUACUUGAGGGAGAAGGAGGGAUAGAAGAGGAUAAGAGGCCUGAUGAAUAAUAUCUUUACCUGAGCGGCUAAAAGCAGAAAGGAGGACACGUGGACCUUGAGCAGCGUGAGGGGAGUGUUGGUCUUAUGAUGGAUGGCGAGGAGCCGGGUGUGUCUGGAUCAAUGCGGUGAGCUCUGCAGUGUGGAACAGGUGAGAGAAAGAUGAGAAAUGAGCGCUGGGGCCCGGCCUUGCUGUGCAGUUUGCCAUUUCCAAGCACACUGAUCAUUUUCACACCCACACACGUGUGCAUACAAAACGCACACAAAACACAACCCAUUUGCAUCAUCCUCAAUCUGUCUUCUCCAUCCAAGCCGAAUAAGAAUGGCUAAUGUGGUUAGCCUUUCCUCACCCCUCUUCUUCAUGGUAGCGUGAGGAGCUUCUAGGAGAGUGCUUGGACUGGACUGAUAUGUUCAUCAGUGGUGAGUGAUGCCUCUGGAUGGCUCCGACAGCUGCCCGGCCCUUUGUGACAGAAGAGCAGAGACCGUGUGAGCCAAGCAACUAAUCUUUCACUGACAGACAGCCGGACAGCCUUUGCUCUCAGAUGACAGACUGAAAAAAGUGCUGAAUUAUAGAGUUCUUCUUCGGAGGAACCUUCUACAAAUGUGCCAUGGCACUCUACCUGGUCUUCACAUAAUUACUGUAAUUUACUGUACAAAAGUUUUGCAAAAUAUGAAAAUGUAGCUGCAGGUAUAAAACACUGGUGAUGCUAAAAGCACCACAAAUUUUUCAGCAAGCCAUUACUCCAUUCUUCAGUGUCACAUGAUCCUUUAGAAAUAAUUUUAAUAUGCCGAUUUGCUACUCCAUUAACCUUUCUUAAUAUUAUCAAAUCCAAAAACAGUUUUGCUGAUUAUUAUUUUAAGGAAACCGUGACACCAAGCCGUCUGUCUUUGAGACAACAUGAGACAGAGGGGGAAAAGAGAAAGAGAAAAGCUUGGGGAAGAUGUACGACUCACUGGCCUGCCACAUACAGCAGAUGUUGUUGCCUAUUGAGCUGUUAAUUUAACGGGAGUUUAUUGAAUAGUAAUUAGGAGGAGCUCACUUACCAUGAUAGAAGAAAGAGUCUGCUCUGCAAGCUAAACUUUUAUUCACACUCUCUUCCUCCUCGCUGUUUCACCUCACUUCCAUUGCUGUUCAUCAGGAAACCUGGAGAAAAAAGAUAGAUAGAUAGACAGACAGAGAGCAUGGAUAACCUGCAGGGGGGAAUAUAUAUAUUUUUUAUUUAUUUAUUUACUUUUUUGACUAUUGCCAUUAAAAUAUGGUAAGGGUAUGUCUGUGGACUGAAGGAUAUAAUAACCCUCACUUGCACUAUGCAAUAAUCCAAUAUAUUUCUCAAAGCAUUGUGGUUCAUCAGAUAUAACAAAUUUUAUUAUUCCAAAUGUUAUUAUUUGUGGAGAACUCUUAAUGCUCUAUUUAUCAGGGUGAGAGGGUGCCGAGGAAAAUCAAUGUUUAAUCAGCAGUAAGCUGUUUGCACGGGGCACCGAGUAAAAUCCUGUAACCCAGACACACUCAGUGAUAUAACUCCAUAGUCCAUAAUCAAUCAACAUCUACAACUCCACAGAACACAACACCAAAGUGCAUAUGAUCCCGUCACAGUUUACAACAGCCUGUCCUCUGAAUAAGAAUACAGAGAUCUCUUUCUGUGUGCUAAUCAGAUAGACUUGCUCCAGCGGUUCAGCUUGGGAGGGCAUGUUAUAAAUCAGAGAAGAAGUGUUACUAACAGUGUGGACUUUCUCUUUCCUCUCGGCGUGUGUGGGGUUCAGGCACCUGGUCUCUGUCGUCAGUCUAAUAUGGAUUCUGCCAGCUCCAUGCCCACAAACAUAUGCUGCCAUUGUGAUGGAGAUGAGUAGCAGGGAUGCUUCCCUCUUUCCUUUCACUAAGCAGCCAAUGGGAGACCCCCAUUGGGUGCCGUAGGUCAAGUGGGAGGGUAUUGUGAUCGGUGGGCUCAGGGGAAAGGCCUUGAGGAUGUGUGAAUUAGGUUCAUCAGCGUGAGGUCACGCAUGUUUGAAAGUGUACGUCUGACCCCUUGUGUCUUCCAGCCCUGACAGCUUCAUCAAGCUUCAACCUUAUGAAUAGAAAUCAGAAGAGUCAUGAAUUUUGACAUGCCCACAGGGCCAAGUAUUCUCCUUGGUUAACAAAACUUAAAUCCAGUGAACUGUUUUCACUUUCUGUCGCAGACUCAUUUGAUUUACACUUGAUUCCACUGGCUAUCAACCACUGCAUUAAAGACUCUCAGAAUGGGCUUAAAAUCAAUCAUUUUGUUUAAAACAAGGUAGGAAAGUGUGAAUUUAAUUAUACAUAGUUGCUGAUGAAACUGUAAAUUGGUUGGAUGCAUAUGAACGCAGCAGAUGUUUUAUCCAAAACAACUUUAUCAAAAGUGCAUUCAUGUUAUACAUUUAUAUGCCUGUGUAUGUACACAUCAAAUCAAACCCAGGGUCUUUUCUAGAAAUUGUCCUUGCUUUAUUUCAAAAGGUAACCUACUUUAUAAAUCACCAAUAGAAGUGUGUAAAAUUCCUUCAGUGUGUUCCCC
rnacentral:lncRNA from 1 species